GGAGAUGUGGCCGAGUGGUCGAAGGCGCUCCCCUGCUAAGGGAGUAGGCCCGGAAGGGUCUCGAGGGUUCGAAUCCCUUCGUCUCUGCCA
rnacentral:tRNA from 1 species